GUUUUUAUAAUUUAAUUUAAAAUUUUAGUCUUGUAAACUAAAUAUAGGUAACCCUUAAAAACA
rnacentral:tRNA from 1 species